rnacentral:lncRNA from 1 species
CCACAGGACUGGCUACUCGUUGACAACAUGAAUGCAGCCUUCUGUGACGGCUUGGUGUAGAAAGCAAAGGAGAAAUCCAGCCUGAUGUUCCCCAGGAGAGAUUCAAUGAGUGCACUGAAAUGCCUACUGUGGGAGCCUGGAGUUCAUCAUCUGGCCCUUAAGAUUAUCAUUUCAAACUAAGAACAGCUAAAAAUAUCUCGAUUUACAUCUGCAACUUGGGGGAUCUAUGGAGUUUGGCAGCUUCGGUUCCCAUGGACACUGCUUCUGCCAUGUCUACCACUUCUCAGAGAUCACAGAAUGACCUGGGUUAGAAGUGACCUCAAAGAUCGUGAAGCUCCAACCCCCAUGGACCACAAGACAUGUUAUUUAACACAUCUUCAUCCCCCCAUAUGGACCACAAGAUGUUUUAUCAUAUGAAGUAAUGAAAGAAAACAAUAUUUUUUGCUUCUUCCAUUGUUUUUUCCACCAGAUGUCAGAGGUGAAGAGGGCUCCUUACACUUGUUUCACUUCAUUUUCCAGGGCUUAUGCCACACAUAGGAAAUGACAACAGGUCACAUAUUCUUCUCUGUAACGGCAUCAAAAGAGCAAUGCAGGAAAUGGAGGCGUGAUGAUCUUUGGGGAAAUAUUUUUACGGCAUAUAAAGAAGAGCAUGCAUCCAUGCCUUUAAAGGAUGUAGCAGACUCAAAAUAUUGCCACGUGGUUUGCAAGUUAAAGACUGCAACUUCUCCCUAGUGUGCUUGCAUUCACCAGAUUCAUCAAAUCUAAAAGAAAUUAUAAUUUCCC